rnacentral:rRNA from 1 species
UACAGAGGCCUCGAGCGUUAGGCGGAAUCACUGGGCUUAAAGCGUGUGUAGGCGGACUUCUAAGUACCUUGUGAAAUCCCACAGCUUAACUGUGGAACUGCUUGGUAUACUGGUUGUCUUGAGCAACCUAGGGGCAAGCGGAACAAAUGGUGGAGCGGUGAAAUGCGUAGAUAUCAUUUGGAACGCCAAUGGUGAAAACAGCUUGCUGGGGGUUUGCUGACGCUGAGACACGAAAGCCAGGGGAGCAAACGGG